CUCUCUAUCCAAGUGUUGGACAUGAUUUUCUCUCUUCCUUCUCCUCCAUAGAUGUUCAAGAGUUGGAUAUGAUUUCUCCUUCAUGAUCAGUCCAAGAGUUGGAUAAAAAAAAAAGAAAAGAAAAGAGAUGGGAUCUCUUAUUCUUCUUUUCUAUAAAUCUUUUUCUUUCUCUUUAGAAGAGAAAAAAAAAAUCAAAUUAGAUCUGAUUUCUUGAUCCUCCUAUAGAUCUCUUUGAUUUUUUUGAGA
rnacentral:lncRNA from 1 species